GGAGGGUGCAAGCGUUAAUCGGGAAUUACUGGGGCGUAAAGCGAGUGUAGGCGGCAGCGUAUGUCGGAUGUGAAAGCCCCGGGGCUCAACCUGGGAAUUGCAUUCGAAACUGCGCAGCUAGAGUCUGACAGAGGGAUGUGGAAUUCCGGGUGUAGCGGUGAAAUGCGUAGAUAUCCGGAGGAACACCAGUGGCGAAGGCGGCAUCCUGGGUCAAGACUGACGCUGAGGCUCGAAAGCGUGGGGAGCAAACAGGAUUAGAUACCCUGGUAGUCCACGCCCUAAACGAUGUCAACUAGACGUUGGGUUCAUUAAGGAACUUAGUGUCGAAGCUAACGCGUUAAGUUGACCGCCUGGGGAGUACGGCCGCAAAGGUUG
rnacentral:rRNA from 1 species